rnacentral:rRNA from 1 species
UACGUAGGGUGCAAGCGUUGUCCGGAAUUAUUGGGCGUAAAGAGCUCGUAGGCGGUUUGUCGCGUCUGCUGUGAAAACUGGGGGCUCAACCCCCAGCCUGCAGUGGGUACGGGCAGACUAGAGUGCGGUAGGGGAGAUUGGAAUUCCUGGUGUAGCGGUGGAAUGCGCAGAUAUCAGGAGGAACACCGAUGGCGAAGGCAGAUCUCUGGGCCGUAACUGACGCUGAGGAGCGAAAGCAUGGGAGCGAACAGG